GACGAACGCUGGCGGCGUGCUUAACACAUGCAAGUCGAACGGUGAAGCGCCUUCCUUUUUGGUGGGUGUGGAUGAGUGGCGAACGGGUGAGUAACACGUGAGUAACCUGCCCUCUUCUUCUGGAUAACCGCAUGAAAGUGUGGCUAAUACGGGAUAUUCUGGGUCUGUGGCAUGAUGGGUCUGGGAAAGCUUUUGUUUCGGUGGGGGAUGGGCUCGCGGCUUAUCAGGUUGUUGGUGGGGUGAUGGCCUACCAAGGCGGUGACGGGUAGCGGGCCUGAGAGGGUGGGCCGAAACACAAGUACGACACGGUGCCGCAGCCUCCGACAGGCAGCAGCAGUGAAUAUUAGAGCACGGGGGGCAGAAUCAUGAUGCAGCGACGCCUCGGUGGGGAUGGAGUUCUGCUUGUUGAGAACCUCUUUCGGGAGAGAAGCGGGCCUGCCUCGUUUGUGGGUGUGUUGACGGUAGCUAGAGAAGAAGCGCCGGCUAACUACGUG
rnacentral:rRNA from 1 species